AGGACGUUGAUGGUAGAGCUACAGAUGUUGCCCUUGAAUGGUUGGUUGCUCUUAGUUCUCCAUUUACAUUUGCCACUACAUUGGAGUAAGAGUACAAGAGUGACAUUUUUGAGGAGCAUGAGAAAAUACUGCUGCCCAUGUCCAAAACAGGCUUGUUUUCUUUUGGUGAUCUGAGUAAUUAUUGAAAGAUAUUCGAAGAUUAAUCCCUGAAAAGAUAAAAAAGGUGAUAUGUUUAUCUUAUCUGCAAUUAGUAACAUAAUUACUCAUUAUGUAUCUGUCCGAUGAAAUGCAUUUAGAAUGGUUAGGAUCAUCUUUCUGUUGUGCUUAAGUUUAUAUUUUGUUGUUAUUAGUACUAUGUUCUUAUGAAUCUGGACAUAUUUAUAAAUUAUGUGAUUUCAUGUAACAUUA